rnacentral:rRNA from 1 species
UGCAAGUCGAGCGCUUCCUUCGGGGAGGAGCGGCGGACGGGUUAGUAACGCGUGGGAAUAUACCCUUCACUAUGGAAUAGCCUUUGGAAACGAAGAGUAAUACCAUAUACGCCCUUCGGGGGAAAGAUUUAUCGGUGAGGGAUUAGCCCGCGUAAGAUUAGAUAGUUGGUGGGGUAAUGGCCUACCAAGUCUACGAUCUUUAGCUGGUUUGAGAGGAUGAUCAGCAACACUGGGACUGAGACACGGCCCAGACUCCUACGGGAGGCGGCAGUGGGGAAUCUUAGACAAUGGGCGCAAGCCUGAUCUAGCCAUGCCGCGUGAGUGAUGAAGGCCUUAGGGUCGUAAGGCUCUUUCACCUGUGAAGAUAAUGACGGUAGCAGGAAAAGAAACCCCGGCUAACUCCGUGCCAGCAGCCGCGGUAAUACGGAGGGGGUUAGCGUUGUUCGGAAUUACUGGGCGUAAAGCGUACGUAGGCGGAUUAGUAAGUAAGAGGUGAAAUCCCAGGGCUCAACCCUGGAACUGCCUUUUAAACUGCUAGUCUUGAGUUCGAGAGAGGUGGGUGGAAUUCCAAGUGUAGAGGUGAAAUUCGUAGAUAUUUGGAGGAACACCAGUGGCGAACGCGGCUCACUGGCUCGGUACUGACGCUGAGUACGAAAGUGUGGGGAGCAAACAGGAUUAGAUACCCUG